CGUUAAUCCAAUGUCAGUACUGUACUAUAUAUAUUUCCUCAGUUGAAUAACUUUGUGUAUAUCUCUUUCCAUUUAUCGGAUUUGUAACUCCAACUUGUUCGAUUCUAGUUUUUAUAGUUUUUUAAAAACUUCUCCUUUUGCAUGUUUCAAUUGGCUCUUCGAUUGAUUUCGAAGUAGUCAAAUUCUGAGAGAUUUGUCGGGCUCUUUCCCACCGGCGCUUGUUAUCUCUUUCACGAAGUGUAAAUCCCUGAUCUCUCUAGAUAGUUAAAUCGAGCGAGGUUAUUUCAUGGAGGUUUUAACAAGGUGAUGCAGUCAAAUCAGAGAGGAGUAUGAAGAUCUAGAGUUCUUGUCGUGUUUUGGUGGCUCUCCAGAGAAUAUUUCGGCUUCGGUUCACUGAAGUUUCUUUUCGGUGAAUCAAACUUUCGCUCUUCUCGAUCUCUUCUGACGAAUCUGCAAAAGGAAACCUGGUGCAUCAUGGCGUAACUUGAGGAGUCUUAACGAAGAUGACAAAGUUUGUGUCUUACUUAAUUGGUGGUGGAAGCUCACGGCGGUGAUGACGUAUGUUUAAGACUUAUUGUAUGAAGACCACGUGGGGUUUCUUGCUCUUGCUUCCGUUUAGGAUUCAGCCUAUCAAACUAUUCGCGGACCAACUAAGUGUCGUCUCGCACGUACGAUAUGGCGAGCUCCAAGCUCUAAGAUAACCGGUCAAAUUCAAAGAUAUUCCAUUAGCAGCUCGGGGUUGUUGCGAAAAUCACGAAAAAUGGUGUAACACGAAGUGGCUCGAGAUACGCGGCGGCAGUUCAAAUCUCGAAGAGAAGUAUAAAAGGAGCUUGAGUCACACAAAAUCAAUAACUUUUCCCUUCCGAAAAAAUCCUAGCAAAAACAAUUAUUUUUUUGUACUCUUUCUCUUCGAGAAAUCAUGUAUUCAUCCUCAAUAUACUAAUAUAAAUCCAAUUUCUUCAAUAUAUUUUUAUUCUCGA